rnacentral:misc_RNA from 1 species
GAUGAAGAACGCAGCGAAAUGCGAUACGUAAUGUGAAUUGCAGAAUUCAGUGAAUCAUCGAAUCUUUGAACGCACAUUGCGCUCUCUGGUAUUCCGGAGAACAUGCUUGUUUGAGUAUCAGUAAACACCUCAACUCCUUUAUUGUAGUUGGACUUGAGCUAUCCCAACAGGACUUUUUGUUCCUGGCGGGAGGCUUGAAAUGCAGGUGCAGCUGGACUUUCUUCUGAGCUAUAAGCAUAUUUAUUUAAUCCCUUAACACGGAUUAUUACUUUUUUGCUGCAGCUAACAUAAAGGUUGAAUUUCCAUUGAGCUGACUGAUGCAGGAAUUUGGCAAGGAAUUUUUUUAAUGACUUGUUAAACUCGAUCUCAAAUCAAGUAAGACUACCCGCUGAACUUAAGCAUAUCAAUAAGCGGAGGA